ACCAGGUAUGGUGGCACACACCUGUAAUCCCAGCAACUCAGGAGGUUGAGUUAGGAGGAUUUCUAGUUCAAGGCCAACCUGAGCAACUUGAGCAACUUAGCAAGCUCCUGUCUAAA
rnacentral:sRNA from 1 species